ACUCAAAUGAAUUGACGGGGGCCCGCACAAGCGGUGGAGCAUGUGGUUCAAUUCGAUGCAACGCGAAGAACCUUACCGGGGUUUGACAUGCAGUUGACCGGCAUGGAAACAUGUCUUCUCUUCGGAGCGGCUGCACAGGUGCUGCAUGGCUGUCGUCAGCUCGUGUCGUGAGAUGUUGGGUUAAGUCCCGCAACGAGCGCAACCCUCGCCCUUUGUUGCCAGCAAGUAAAGUUGGGCACUCGAAGGGGACUGCCGGUGAUAAGCCGGAGGAAGGUGGGGAUGACGUCAAGUCCUCAUGGCCCUUAUAUCCCGGGCUACACACGUGCUACAAUGGUCGGUACAAAGGGUUGCAAGACCGCGAGGUGGAGCCAAUCCCAGAAAGCCGGCCUCAGUUCGGAUUGUAGUCUGCAACUCGACUACAUGAAGUCGGAAUCGCUAGUAAUCGCGGAUCAGCAGGCCGCGGUGAAUACGUUCCCGGGCCUUGUACACACCGCCCGU
rnacentral:rRNA from 1 species